rnacentral:rRNA from 1 species
ACAUGCCUAUAGAAUAGCGUUAAUGCACCAUAUCCCAUUAGAACUUCCCAGUUAAGCAUGCUUAGGCUAGAUUAGUACUGGGAUGGGUGACCGCCCAGGAAGUCGUAGUGUUUUACAUGCC